rnacentral:rRNA from 1 species
UAUCUCUGUAGAGUCUGCAUAUCAAUAAGCGGAGGAAAAGAAACUAACUAGGAUUCCCCCAGUAACGGCGAGUGAAGCGGGAAGAGCUCAAAUUUGAAAUCUUCAAGGUUCUACCUUGACGAAUUGUAGUUUAAAGAAGUGUUUUCUGUUGGAGUUUUGGUAAAAGUUCUUUGGAAUAGGACAUCAUAGAGGGUGAGAAUCCCGUAUUUGACCAUUAUUUCCAACUUUGUGAUACACUUUCAAAGAGUCGGAUUGUUUGGGAAUGCAGUCCAAAAUGGGUGGUAAAUUUCAUCUAAAGCUAAAUACUGGCGAGAGACCGAUAGCGAACAAGUACCGUGAGGGAAAGAUGAAAAGAACUUUGAAAAGAGAGUUAAACAGUACGUGAAAUUGUCAAAAGGGAAGCGUUUGACACCAGUGUUGUUUUCUCGAAAAUCAAUUAAAAAGUGGUUAGGAUUUUGUAUUGUUAUGACCUUAUCAGCUUUACUGUACUCUUUUCCUGCUCUUUUUAAUGCACUUUUCGUUUAACAAGUCAACAUCAGUUUCUUUUGUUGUAAAAAGGUCAUUGGAAGGUGGCUUUCUUUUUCGGAGAAAGUGUUUAUAGCCUUUGACUCCUGCAAUCGGAGAGACUGAGGUCUGCAGCGUAGAUCCUUCUUGGAUUAGAUUCAUUUGUGCUAAGUUAUAGCCUUUUCAUAGACAACUUGUUGACUAUGAUCAGUCAUGUAGCUUACUCGCUUAUGCUAUUUUACCUACGCUUAGGAUGUUGAUCUCUCACAGUCGAGC